rnacentral:rRNA from 1 species
AUUGAACGCUGGCGGCAUGCCUUACACAUGCAAGUCGAACGGCAGCGCGGACUUCGGUCUGGCGGCGAGUGGCGAACGGGUGAGUAAUACAUCGGAACGUACCCUGUUGUGGGGGAUAACUAGUCGAAAGAUUAGCUAAUACCGCAUACGACCUGAGGGUGAAAGUGGGGGACCGCAAGGCCUCACGCAGCAGGAGCGGCCGAUGUCUGAUUAGCUAGUUGGUGGGGUAAAGGCCCACCAAGGCGACGACCAGUAGCGGGUCUGAGAGGACGAUCAGCAACAUGGGGACUGGGAAAAGGCCCAGACUCCUACGGGAGGCAGCAGUGGGGAAUUUUGGACAAGGGGGGCAACCUUGAUCCAGCAAUGCCGCGUGCGUGAAGAAGGCCUUCGGGUUGUAAAGCACUUUUGUCCGGAAAGAAAUCGCGCUGGUUAAUACCUGGCGUGGAUAACGGUACCGGAAGAAUAAGCACCGGCUAACUACGUGCCAGCAGCCGCCGUAA